GAAAUAGCUCAGCUGGUAGAGCAUGAGACUAAUCUUGGGGUCGUGGGUUCGAGCCCCACGUUGGGCA